CCUACGGGAGACAGCAGUGGGGAAUAUUGCACAAUGGGGGAAACCCUGAUGCAGCGACGCCGCGUGAAGGAUGAAGUAUUUCGGUAUGUAAACUUCUAUCAGCAGGGAAGAAAAUGACGGUACCUGACUAAGAAGCCCCGACUAACUACGUGCCAGCAGCCGCGGUAAUACGUAGGGGGCAAGCGUUAUCCGGAUUUACUGGGUGAAAAGGGAGCGGAGACGGUAUGGAAAUUCUGAUGUGAAAACCCGGGGCUCAACCCCGGGACUGCAUUGGAAACUGCCGAACUAGAGUGUCGGAGAGGAAAGUGGAAUGCCUAGUGUAGCGGUGAAAUGCGUAGAUAUUAGGAGGAACACCAGUGGCGAAGGCGGCUUACUGGACUGUAACUGACGUUGAGGCUCGAAAGCGUGGGGAGCAAACAGGAUUAGAUACCCUUGUAGUC
rnacentral:rRNA from 1 species